rnacentral:rRNA from 1 species
CAGCAGCCACGGGAAUACGGAAGGUCCAGGCGUUAUCCGGAUUUAUUGGGUUUAAAGGGAGUGUAGGCGGUCUGUUAAGCGUGUUGUGAAAUUUAGGUGCUCAACAUCUAACUUGCAGCGCGAACUGGCGGACUUGAGUGCACGCAACGUAUGCGGAAUUCAUGGUGUAGCGGUGAAAUGCUUAGAUAUCAUGACGAACUCCGAUUGCGAAGGCAGCGUACGGGAGUGUUACUGACGCUUAAGCUCGAAGGUGCGGGUAUCGAACAGGAUUAGAUACCCCGGUAGUCCCUGUCUCUUAUAA